rnacentral:rRNA from 1 species
AUUGAACGCUAGCGGGAUGCCUUACACAUGCAAGUCGAACGGCAGCACGGACUUCGGUCUGGUGGCGAGUGGCGAACGGGUGAGUAAUGUAUCGGAACGUGCCUAGUAGCGGGGAUAACUACGCGAAAGCGUAGCUAAUACCGCAUACGCCCUACGGGGGAAAGCAGGGGAUCGCAAGACCUUGCACUAUUAGAGCGGCC